GUUUGAUCCUGGCUCAGGAUGAACGCUAGCGGCAGGCCUAAUACAUGCAAGUCGAACGGUGUCUUCGGACAUAGUGGCGCACGGGUGCGUAACACGUAUGCAACCUACCUUACAUUGGGGGAUAGCCUUUCGAAAGGGAGAUUAAUACCGCAUAAGACAGUAGCUGGGCAUCCAGCAGCUGUUAAAGAUUUAUCGAUGUAAGCUGGGCAUGCGUCCAAUUAGCUAGUUGGUGAGGUAAUGGCUCACCAAGGCAAUGAUUGGUAGGGGAACUGAGAGGUCAAUCCCCCACACUGGCACUGAGAUACGGGCCAGACUCCUACGGGAGGCAGCAGUAGGGAAUAUUGGGCAAUGGACGCAAGUCUGACCCAGCCAUGCCGCGUGCAGGAUGAAGGCGUUAUGCGUUGUAAACUGCUUUUAUACAGGAAGAAACGACUCUUGCGAGAGGCAUUGACGGUACUGUAUGAAUAAGCACCGGCUAACUCCGUGCCAGCAGCCGCGGUAAUACGGAGGGUGCAAGCGUUGUCCGGAUUUAUUGGGUUUAAAGGGUGCGCAGGUGGUUUAUUAAGUCAGUGGUGAAAGACGGUCGCUCAACGAUUGCAGUGCCAUUGAAACUGGUAGACUUGAGUAAAGUAGAGGUGGGCGGAAUUGAUAGUGUAGCGGUGAAAUGCAUAGAUAUUAUCAAGAACUCCAAUUGCGUAGGCAGCUCACUUGGCUUUUACUGACACUCAUGCACGAAAGUGUGGGUAUCAAACAGGAUUAGAUACCCUGGUAGUCCACACUGUAAACGAUGAUAACUAGGUGUCGGCCGAAUCUGGUCGGUGCCACAGCGAAAGCGUUAAGUUAUCCACCUGGGGAGUACGCCGGCAACGGUGAAACUCAAAGGAAUUGACGGGGGUCCGCACA
rnacentral:rRNA from 1 species